rfam:Populus trichocarpa scaffold_18_contig_155, whole genome shotgun sequence.
UCUAGAACUUGAGAUAUAGGCUCAACACUAAACAGUGUAUGGGCUGCAAGAUAGAUUCUGACUUCUCCAUUGUUGCUAAGAUUUGGACUUCCAAACAACAAAAUUUAGUCUUGCACUCCACAUGAAUGUUUUAGGCAUAGGUCUUAGCUUUCUAGC